rnacentral:rRNA from 1 species
AGUGAACGCUGGCGGCAGGCCUAACACAUGCAAGUCGAACGGCAGCACAGCAGUAGCAAUACUGUGGGUGGCGAGUGGCGGACGGGUGAGGAAUACAUCGGAAUCUGCCCAGUCGUGGGGGAUAACAUAGGGAAACUUAUGCUAAUACCGCAUACGACCUGAGGGUGAAAGCGGGGGAUCGCAAGACCUCGCGCGAUUGGAUGAGCCGAUGUCCGAUUAGCUAGUUGGCGGGGUAAUGGCCCACCAAGGCGACGAUCGGUAGCUGGUCUGAGAGGAUGAUCAGCCACACUGGAACUGAGACACGGUCCAGGCUCCUACGGGAGGCAGCAGUGGGGAAUAUUGGACAAUGGGCGGCAAGCCUGAUCCAGCCAUGCCGCGUGGGUGAAGAAGG